GACCGAGGGGUGUGCGCACACAAAGAGCUGCUAACUCUUUACGCCGAGGUUAAAUUCCCCGGACCCCUCA
rnacentral:tRNA from 1 species